AAUUGUGAUUCUGAAACCAUUAUUUUUGACACCACUAAAAACUGGGUGUUACAACAUGGGUGGUCUAUAUUUGUGAUGGAUGACUUAAUCACUAUUUGAUAAUGAUUGACUUUUCAUGGAGGAAGAUGUAAUUGUUACCAUGAGAUAAAAUAAAAUCAUAUUGGAGAACGAAUAUUAUCAUAAAGAGAUCAAUGAUAUCCUAUGAGGGUAUCACACUUAUGACAAAGUCAUUAGACGAACACUGAGUAGUUGCUUUUAUAAUGGUAUGUUGUUG
rnacentral:lncRNA from 1 species